AUCACACAUUUAAAUAAUUAGUGUUGGGAAUGGUUAAAAUCUCAUAACUGAUGAUUGGCUUAUUACAACCGAUCAUCAUCGAAAAUACCUGGUUAGCGUCAUUUAUGAAAUUUU